UUAGACUCUGCUUCGCGGCGGCCGCGCCGGAGGCCGUGGACGUGCCGCGGCUGGUGCUCCACUUCGACAGCGCUGGGUCAUGGAGUAGCAGAGCUUGAGCACGGGGGCAGUGCCGCAGAGCUCAGGGAUUACGUCGCAGCUGAACCCGAACCUGAGAUCCACGCACCCCUUCAGCUCCUCCAGGUCGUCGUCGACUCGUCGGUCAGGCUCCGCGCGUGCCGCCGCCGCCGCCAUCGCUCCCGCUCCUCGCCGUACAUGCGCCGCCGCCGAAGACGACGACGCCGCAGGGCUUCUCCUUGGCGACCACCACCGGCUUCGUCCGCCGUGGCCACGCCGCCUCCAACUGUACCCCGCACCACACGUCCUCGGCCUCGACCUAGGCCACCGCUGCCGCUCCGCCCGUGGCCUGCUGCCGUCGCCGCCGCGGUGCUCCGCCCGCCCUUUCGUGGCUCCAACACAUCCCGUCUCUCCCGCCUCCCCUUCUCGAGCUCCAUAUGGCGAGCUGUGCCCGGCGGCGAGAGGACCAUCGCCGCGGCCGUGCAAAUCCGGCAGCUGAGCGGCGUGAUCCAUACGGCGGCGGCGGAGGAGGAGGAGACCGGGAGAUUGGCCGCCGCACGCCGCUCCUCUCCCGCGAGCCGCCGCGCGCUGCUCCUCUUCCACAGGCCGCCGCACACCGCUGCCUCCUCGCCGGUGAAGACUCGGGAGAUGCUCUUUUUCAUCCUCUUCCCGACUCGCCUUCAAGACCUCAUCAUCUACACUAUUGCCAAGCUGAUUAUGUGUGCCAAAGGGAAGAGGAAGGAGCACCUAAGGACAAUAGGCAUGGGAGGCAUCGGGAAAACAUCAAAACAAGUCGACCCCCCUAAUUUAGAGGGGAAGAAGAAUUGGCACUAAACUAGGGUAUGCCAUCAUUUGAACUUGGGGGUCAGACAUGCAAAAGGUAAGCAAAACAUGCUGAACUAAAUGAAAGUUGGAUUCUGGUACCGCUUGGACAACCAAACCGCAGAGUCCUACCAAAUUUUUGUGAGACCAAAGGAAGAGGAAGUAGCACUUAAGAACAAUAGGAAUGGGAGGCACUUUUCCUUCAUGUUCCCAUUUCUACAGCUCUUAUAUAAACCUUCUUUCUCCCUCUUCCCAAUCUCACUCUCAAGGUCCAGCCCAUCGCUCGAAAUGCGGACAUCUUUUCCUACUAGACAAAUGUGCGAGACGAGAAGGAAGGGGAAGGAGCACCCAAGAACAAUAGGAAUGCGAGGCAUCAGAAAAACAAAAAGCCGAACGUCGAAGAAAUUUAGAGCUCAUGCUUUCCACCAUGUUCCUAUUCCCCCUUCUCUUGAUUUCUUGAACCCUCUCAUUCUUUCCCUUCCCUAGCUCACCCUCCCUGCUGCCGAGUGCUGUGCAGAACUCGGAAAAUAAGCUAUGUGAGUGAUGAGCAAUGAGCACUCCUACUGCACGGUGUACCAUACUUCCAGUCCAUAGGACAUAUCAGUGAUGGCAGUGGGACUAUAUGGAUUUUGUGUUGUAAAUGUAGAUGAACACAUUUUUGGCUGUAGGGAAGUGGUCUUCUUCUACUCUUGCAUAUCGACAUACAUGAAAAGCUGACUGUAGGCUAGUCCUGACUCCUGACCCUGAGCUUUGCAUCUACAACCCAAAGAAAAAUAAAUUAAAGGAACAUGGAGCUAGACAC
rnacentral:lncRNA from 1 species